rnacentral:ribozyme from 1 species
UUUUUUUUUUUUUUUUUUUUUUUUUUUUAUUUUACAACAUUCUCCCUUUAGAAAAUUAGAGAAGUAGUGUGAAUUGUCACCAUAGAUAUAAAUAAGAUUU